CAGACUGAGAUGAGGGGUUAUGAAUGUCAGAGGACCUGUUUCUGUCCCAAGUUUAAAGGAUGGGAGAAGAAGUUACAGAGACAACGAUUUGUAGACAAAAUAAAAUGCUAAAGAACACUAGAAAGUGUUUCGAAGAAACCAAGAAUUGUAUCAGGGGGUGAACUGAGAGCAUCAGAACAAAAACACUGCAUUCCUGACCACUUCCCUUAAGCUAAAUGACCGGAUACGGGAUCAAUUCCAACUGCGUUCCCUGCUCUGCCCCUUAGCCUUUUCUUUAACAAGGCUGAUAGGUCAAAA